rnacentral:miRNA from 1 species
AAGCACAGACGCUGCUUGCUGCUCUCCACCGGUGACAGCGCCCAGGAGGGAUGCCUGCUGGGGUGGAGACCUGGCUG